CUCCGAAUGGUGUAGUUGGUUCAUCACGUUCGACUGUAAUGGUUUCUACCAAGAUUAUUGAAAGGUCCCUAGUUCGAUUCUGGGUUCGGAGA